rnacentral:rRNA from 1 species
AUUGAACGCUGGCGGAAUGCUUUACACAUGCAAGUCGAGCGGCAGCGCGGCCUUCGGGCUGGCGGCGAGCGGCGAACGGGUGAGUAAUGCAUCGGAACAUGCCCAGUCGUGGGGGAUAACACUUCGAAAGAAGUGCUAAUACCGCAUACGUCCUGAGGGGGAAAGCGGGGGAUCGCAAGACCUCGCGCGAUUGGAGUGGCCGAUGUCAGAUUAGCUAGUGGGUGGGGUAAAGGCCUACCAAGGCGACGAUCUGUAGCUGGUCUGAGAGGGUGAUCAGCCACACUGGGACUGAGACACGGCCCAGACUCCUACGGGAGGCAGCAGUGGGGAAUAUUGGGCAAUGGGGGCAAGCCUGAUGGAGCCAUGCCGCGUGAGUGAAGAAGGCCUUCGGGUUGUAAAGCUCUGUCGGAAGGGACGAAACGGUGGGCUAGAACAUGGUCGGCUAAUGACGGUACCUGAAGAGGAAGCACCGGCUAACUACGUG